GACGAACGCUGGCGGCGUGCUUAACACAUGCAAGUCGAACGGAAAGACCCUUCUUUUGUGGGGUGCUCGAGUGGCGAACGGGUGAGUAACACGUGAGUAACCUGCCCUUGACUUUGGGAUAACUUCAGGAAACUGGGUCUAAUACCGGAUAGGAGCUCCUGCUGCAUGGUGUGGUUUGGAAAGUUUCGGCGGUUGGGGAUGGACUCGCGGCUUAUCAUCUUGUUGGUGGGGUAGUGGCUUACCAAGGGUUUGACGGGUAGCCGUCCUGAGAGGGUGACCGGCCACAUUGGGACUGAGAUACGGCCCAGAAUCCUACGGGAGGCAGCAGUGGGGAAUAUUGCACAAUGGGCGGAAGCCUGAUGCAGCAACGCAGCGUGGGGGAUGACGGCCUUCGGGUUGUAAAAAGAUUUCGCAUGUGACGAAGAGUGAGUGACGGUAAUGGGUAAAGAAGCAACGGCUAACUACGUG
rnacentral:rRNA from 1 species